rnacentral:lncRNA from 1 species
AAGAAAAUCAAGAGCUAAGGCUCGCCUUCCACAAUGAGAAAAACACAAGCUAAGGCUUGCCUUCUAUUAGGCAUUUGCUCGAGCACCUUGCGUACACUUGCAAAUAUAAUUCUUGUAGCAUGACUAAGAUUUGUAGCCCAUCCACGAGACCAUCAAGUAUUACAGUAUCACAUUUCACAUAUUUCCACAAUUUGUCACUAUGGAAAUUGCAUGACUCUUUCACAAAUCAGACGGUAUAUCGAUGUAAAUCUUUCAAGCAAAUAGAGGAAUUUUGCCACUCUUACUAUAACAUUACCAUUAUUUAUCAUCAAUGUUGAGGUCCCGACAAACCAAUGUUUACUUGGUGUUAAAAUAACCUUGCAGGUCAUUGGUGAAUAAAUAAUCGGAUUUUAAUGGCUCUAAAAUGAAAGCAUACAUAGCCAACAGAUUAUGGUAAUUGGAAAUUCUUAUUACCAAUAAAGGCCCGAUUUUUCUCUAGAUGCCACCCACUUGGAAGAAAUAUUGUAUUUGAAAACUUGGAAUAUUUCAAGACUUGCAAUGACUAUGCCUGAAGUAAUAUAAAAUUCAAAGUUGUACCAUUUGGAGUAUUUCACAAAAUUUUCUGGCCUUAAAGAUACGGUAUAAGUAGAUAAAUAGAAACCAAAAGAAUUAGGCCCAUGAAGAUCACCAUAGAAGGCCCAAAAUUGAAUGUGGUCCAUUCAAGAGGAUAAAUCGGGUAGAGCACUUUGGAUCAAAGGAAUAAUAUGGGCCCAACCUUAAAUGAACAUUUGGCCUAACCACUAAAGCCCAAUGAUUAACCUACAAUUUCAAUAUGUUGAAGUGGAUGAUUAAAUAAGGCAGAGAAAUUACCAAUUGAACCUUUGUUUCAUUCGUCAAUCAAAGUAGCAAGAUUGAAUGGAAAUUUGCAAGAACACGC